rnacentral:ncRNA from 1 species
GAGAGCCGUAUGCAGUGAAAGUUGCACGUACGGUUCGGAGAGGGCUUUUAUCUCCUAAGGAUUUAUCUAGGGACAUAUCUGCUACUCUAC